rnacentral:rRNA from 1 species
GACGGGGGGUCCUAGCGUUGUUCGGAAUCAUUGGGCGUAAAGCGGGCGUAGGUGGCCAUAUAAGUCAGGAGUGAAAGCCCUGGGCUCAACCCAGGAAGUGCUCUUGAUACUGUUUGGCUUGAGUGUGGGAGAGGGUAGUGGAAUUCCAGGUGUAGUGGUGAAAUACGUAGAUAUCUGGAGGAACACCGGUGGCGAAGGCGGCUACCUGGCCCAACACUGACACUGAGGCCCGAAAGCGUGGGGAUCAAACAGG